AAGGAAUAUUGGUCAAUGGACGCAAGUCUGAACCAGCCAUGCCGCGUGCAGGAAGACGGCUCUAUGAGUUGUAAACUGCUUUUGUACGAGGGUAAACUCACCUACGUGUAGGUGACUGAAAGUAUCGUACGAAUAAGGAUCGGCUAACUCCGUGCCAGCAGCCGCGGUAAUACGGAGGAUUCAAGCGUUAUCCGGAUUUAUUGGGUUUAAAGGGUGCGUAGGCGGUUUGAUAAGUUAGAGGUGAAAUCCCGGGGCUUAACUCCGGAACUGCCUCUAAUACUGUUAGACUAGAGAGUAGUUGCGGUAGGCGGAAUGUAUGGUGUAGCGGUGAAAUGCUUAGAGAUCAUACAGAACACCGAUUGCGAAGGCAGCUUACCAAACUAUAUCUGACGUUGAGGCACGAAAGCGUGGGGAGCAAAC
rnacentral:rRNA from 1 species